rnacentral:rRNA from 1 species
UACGGAGGGUGCAAGCGUUAUCCGGAUUUACUGGGUUAAAGGGUGCGUAGGUGGGUCUGUAAGUCAGUGGUGAAAUCUCCGAGCUUAACUCGGAAACUGCCAUUGAUACUAUAGGUCUUGAAUUAUCUGGAGGUAAGCGGAAUAUGUCAUGUAGCGGUGAAAUGCUUAGAUAUGACAUAGAACACCAAUUGCGAAGGCAGCUUACUACGGAUAUAUUGACACUGAGGCACGAAAGCGUGGGGAUCAAACAGG